UACGUAGGGGGCUAGCGUUGUCCGGAAUCACUGGGCGUAAAGGGCGUGUAGGCGGCUGGAUAAGUGGGAUGUUAAAUCCCCCGGCUCAACCGGGGACCUGCAUCUCAUACUGUUCAGCUCGAGCACAUCAGAGGAGACUGGAAUUCCCGGUGUAGCGGUGAAAUGCGCAGAUAUCAGGAGGAACACCGGUGGCGAAGGCGGGUCUCUGGGCCGAUACUGACGCUGAGGAGCGAAAGCGUGGGGAGCGAACAGG
rnacentral:rRNA from 1 species